rnacentral:rRNA from 1 species
CCUACGGGAGGUAGCAGUGAGGAAUAUUGCUCAAUGGACGAGAGUCUGAACCAGCCAAGUAGCGUGAAGGAUGACUGCCCUAUGUGUUGUAAACUUCUUUUAUAUGGGAGUAAAAUGUUCCACGUGUGGGAUUUUGUAUGUACCAUAUGAAUAAGGAUCGGCUAACUCCGUGCCAGCAGCCGCGGUAAUACGGAGGAUCCGAGCGUUAUCCGGAUUUAUUGGGUUUAAAGGGAGCGUAGGUGGAUUGUUAAGUCAGUUGUGCAAGUUGGCGGCUCAACCGUAAAAUUGCAGUUGAAACUGAAAGUCUUGAGUACAGUAGAGGUGGGCGGAAUUCGUGGUGUAGCGGUGAAAUGCUUAGAUAUCACGAAGAACUCCGAUUGCGAAGGCAGCUCACUGGACUGCAACUGACACUGAGGCUCGAAAGUGUGGGUAUCAAACAGGAUUAGAUACCCCAGUAGUC